GAUAACUAGAGAAAGUCCCUGCCCUCGAGGCGGCCAGGCCGAGAAAACGCAAUGCUCGGAGCCAUCAGAGAGAGUUUGAAGAAGGAAGGCCCCCUAAAUCCUCCUCGAGGAGGUGGGUGAGACUCUGUGGAGGCACUGCUGACUUUUGUGUUGACUCUUGAAAGAGAAGUUUGUUGGAUGGAGCACAUGCUCCUGCCACUAUCAAACACAGGCCCAGCUGCCAGGGAUACAAGCUGGAACCUUGGGUGGAUGGAGGACGUUUCAAAUGUGGAGCCAGGUGCCAGAGUCUGCAGUCCUGGAAUGAUCAAAUCAAGCAUCGAAAGGCUGCCCACAAUGCAUGUGGAGAAAAGAUUUCAGAGACCUUCCAAGGACGUGUAAGAUAAGUCAAGGCAGCAUAAAUUGAAGAUGGAAAAACAAAGGUGGGCAGAACAUGGAGCCAAGAAUAAGGAUAGACAUGCAUAGCAUAACAACCUCUGCUCCCACGAAGGGUGGGCUCCAAGCUUUCCAGCAGCCAACAGGAAAGGGGAAACUUUGUUGUUAU
rnacentral:lncRNA from 1 species